rnacentral:rRNA from 1 species
GGGGAAUUUUGGACAAUGGGCGAAAGCCUGAUCCAGCCAUGCCGCGUGAGUGAAGAAGGCCUUCGGGUUGUAAAGCUCUUUUAGUCGGAAAGAAAGAGUUGCAAUGAAUAAUUGUGAUUUAUGACGGUACCGACAGAAAAAGCACCGGCUAACUACGUGCCAGCAGCCGCGGUAAUACGUAGGGUGCGAGCGUUAAUCGGAAUUACUGGGCGUACAGGGUGCGCAGGCGGUCUUGCAAGUCAGAUGUGAAAGCCCCGGGCUUAACCUGGGAAUUGCGUUUGAAACUACAAGACUAGAGUGCAGCAGAGGGGAGUGGAAUUCCAUGUGUAGCAGUGAAAUGCGUAGAGAUGUGGAAGAACACCGAUGGCGAAGGCAGCUCCCUGGGUUGACACUGACGCUCAUGCACGAAAGCGUGGGGAGCAAACA